UACAGAGGGGGCAAGCGUUGUUCGGAAUUACUGGGCGUAAAGGGCGCGUAGGCGGCCUGUUAAGUCGAACGUGAAAUCCCUGGGCUCAACCCAGGAACUGCGUCCGAUACUGGCAGGCUUGAAUCCGGGAGAGGGAUGCGGAAUUCCAGGUGUAGCGGUGAAAUGCGUAGAUAUCUGGAGGAACACCGGUGGCGAAGGCGGCAUCCUGGACCGGCAUUGACGCUGAGGAGCGAAAGCCAGGGGAGCAAACGGG
rnacentral:rRNA from 1 species